rnacentral:rRNA from 1 species
AUGACGCUGACAGAAUGUUAAACACAUACAAGUCAACACAAAUUGGGUAUUAAAUUAAAUUUGGGUGGCGGACGGGUGAGUAACGCGUAAAGAACUUGCCUCACAGCUAGGGACAACAUUUGGAAACGAAUGCUAAUACCUAAUAUUAUGAUAAUAGGGCAUCCUAUAAUUAUGAAAGCUAUAAGCGCUGUGAGAGAGCUUUGCGUCCCAUUAGCUAGUUGGAGAGGUAACUGCUCACCGAGGCGAUGAUGGGUAGCCGGCCUGAGAGGGUGAUCGGCCACAAGGGGACUGAGACACGGCCCUUACUCCUACGGGAGGCAGCAGUGGGGAAUAUUGGACAAUGGACCAAGAGUCUGAUCCAGCAAUUCUGUGUGCACGAUGAAGUUUUUCGGAAUGUAAAGUGCUUUCAGUUGGGAAGAAAGAAAUGACGGUACCAACAGGAGAAGUGACGGCUAAAUACGUGCCAGCAGCCGCGGUAAUACGUAUGUCACGAGCGUUAUCCGGAUUUAUUGGGCGUAAAGCGCGUCUAGGUGGUUAUGUAAGUCUGAUGUGAAAAUGCAGGGCUCAACUCUGUAUUGCGUUGGAAACUGUAUAACUAGAGUACUGGAGAGGUAAGCGGAACUACAAGUGUAGAGGUGAAAUUCGUAGAUAUUUGUAGGAAUGCCGAUGGGGAAGCCAGCUUACUGGACAGAUACUGACGCUGAAGCGCGAAAGCGUGGGUAGCAAACAGG